GACGAACGCUGGCGGCGUGCUUAACACAUGCAAGUCGAGCGGAGCGGGGAACGGGUGAGUAACGCGUGAGUAACUGUCCCCCUCGAUGGGAUAACAGUUGGAAACGGCUGCGACUACCGGAAAGUGGGGGGGGACUCGCGUCCUAUCAGCUUGUUGGUUUGGUAGUGGCCGACCAAGGCGACGAGGGGUAGCCGGCCUGAGAGGGCGACCGGCCACAUUGGGCUGAGAUACGGCACAAACUCCUCCGGGAGGCAGCAGUGGGGAAUAUUGCACUAUGGGGGAAACGCUGAUGCAGCAACGCCGCGUGCGGGAUGACGGGCUUCGGGUUGUAAACCGCUUUCAGCUAUGACGCGGUAGUGGCAGAAGAAGCACCGGCUAACUACGUGCCAGCAGCCGCGGUAAUAC
rnacentral:rRNA from 1 species